UCUUUGGAGCUGUGUGAACUGAAUGUCAGGCUAGGUCUGGGGAGCUGUGUGAACUGAAUGUCAGGCUAGGUCCGGGAGCUGUGUGAACUGAAUGUUGUCAGGCUAGGUCUGUGGAGCUGUGUGAACUGAAUGUCAGGCCUGUCUGUGNNNNNNNNNNNNNNNNNNNNNNNNNCGUUACAGAAAACACACACUCAACCGCCCCGAGGUACACACGUUACAGAAACACACUCAACCCCCCGAGGUUACACACGUACAGAAACACACUCAACCACCCGAGGGACACCUCAGAAACACACUCAACCCCCCGAGGUACACACAGGUACAGAAAACACACUCAAAACCGCCCCGAGGUCACACAGUACAGAAACAACACUCAACCGCCCCGAGUUACACAGUACAGAACACACUCAACCGCCCGAGGCGUCCACGGGUACAGAAACCACUCAACCGCCCCGAGGUACACAGGUACAGAACCACUCAACCGCCCCGAGGUACACAGACAGAAAGCACUCAACCGACCGAGGUACACACGUUACAGAAACGCACUCAACCGCCCCGAGGUACAACCGACAGCAACAACCCACUCAACCCCCGAGGUACACCACGACAAGACAACAGCCCCGAGGUACACACGUUCCACAGAACCGCACUCACCGGCCCCGGGUACACACGUACAGAAACCGCACUCAACCGCCCCGAGGUUACACACGUACAGAAAACACUCACACCCGCCCCGAAGUUAAGUACAGAAACGCACUCAACCGCCCCGAGGGGUAUAAGUACAGAAACGCACUCAACCGCCCCGAGGUACAAGUACAGAAACACACUCAACCGCCCCGAGGUACACGUACAGAAACGCACUCAACCGCCCCGAGGUAUAAGUACAGAACACACUCAACCGCCCGAGGUAUAAGUACCAAAAAAACACACUCAAACGCCCCGAGGUACACGUCAGAACGCACUCAACCGCCCGAGGUAUAGUACAAGAAACACAACUCAACGCCCGAGGUAUACAGUACAGAAACACACUCAACCGCCCCGAGGUUACACGUACAGAAACACACUCAACCGCCCGAGUCUAAUUACAGAAACACACUCAACCGCCCCCCGAGUAGUACAGACAAAACACACUCAACCCCCCGAGGUAUAGACACAACACUCAACCGCCCCGGUAUAAGCACAGUACACACUUAACCACCCCGAGGUACACGUACAGAAACGCACUCAACCGCCCCGAGGUUUAAGCACAUACAACAACUACCCCGAGGUACACACACACACACAAACCACCCCACAACACACACACAACACACACAACACACACACACACACACAGUCUCAAACCAGC
rnacentral:lncRNA from 1 species